GCCAAAUCCAUUUUAUCGAAUAACGGGAAAUACUCCACCACCAUAUCCACGUGAUUGAAUAAAUAGCAAUGAGUUGACGGAUUAUACACAACAUCAACCUGUCACUACACCUUCAUCUGUGUUCGAGAAAGACAUAACAAGAAAAGGGCCAAAUGAAACACAAUGUGGAGCAAAGGCUGAAGAAAUCGACAACCAUACAGGGAAAACUGAAGACAUCAAAAUAGCCAUGGUAGUUGCUGAAAGAAUGGAUUGGAUGCUUGGACAUGUUGAAAAGCAACUUGAGAGAAUCUCGGACAAGAAUAACAAAUUAAUUGUUGAUGAAGUACCAACAUCAGUUAUUGGAUGUUUGGAACACAGAGAGGGAAAAGUCGUAAGAGAGGUUUAUUAACUUUGUUUUUAAUUGAAAUACUUUAAAAUCGGC